GCUGGGUGUUGUGGCGCACACCUGUAAUCCCAGCAGCUGGGGAGGCUGAGGCAGGAGGAUCGUGAGUUCAAAGCCAGCCUCAGAAACUUAACAAGGCCCUAAGCAACUCAGUGAGACCCUGUCUUUA
rnacentral:sRNA from 1 species